UGUGAGUCAGACACAUCUUGUGCAGGGAAAGGGCUGGAGAAGAUCAUGAUGUGACAGAAAGUAACUUCUGAAAUCUUGCCUGUCACCCUGACAGGAGACAGAGUAACACCCAUCUUUGGCUCCAGAUUGUCCCAGCCUUCCACGGGACAGGGAAGGGAACUGGCUGUAGUGGAGCCAGUCCAGGGGCCGGUGACCUUCGAGGAGGUGGCUGUGUAUUUCACCAGGGAAGAGUGGGCUCUGCUAGACCCCCGUCAAAGAGCCCUCUGCAGAGACGUCAUGCAGGAGAACUAUGAGAAUGUGACCUCGCUGGAGGUUUAAGUUUAGCCACCACCCACCUAGUGGAAAGGUAUGAAGUAGAACUGGCCAACCUGUACUCUCUAUUUGUGUAGGUUAUGGACAUUUGAUUUCCUUAUUUUUAAUAGACUUUUUAGGUACUCUCUGU